GACAGAGGGUGCAAACGUUGUUCGGAAUUACUGGGCGUAAAGCGCGUGUAGGCGGCCCGGCAAGUCGGAUGUGAAAGCCCUGGGCUUAACCUAGGAAGUGCAUUCGAAACUCCCGUGGCUUGAGUUCUGGAGAGGGAAGCGGAAUUCUCGGUGUAGAGGUGAAAUUCGUAGAUAUCGAGAGGAACACCGGUGGCGAAGGCGGCUUCCUGGACAGUGACUGACGCUGAGACGCGAAAGCGUGGGGAGCAAACAGG
rnacentral:rRNA from 1 species